rnacentral:rRNA from 1 species
ACGAACGCUGGCGGCACGCUUAACACAUGCAAGUCGAACGAGAGAAGAGAAGCUUGCUUUUCUGAUCUAGUGGCGGACGGGUGAGUAACACGUGAGCAAUCUGCCUUUCAGAGGGGGAUACCGAUUGGAAACGAUCGUUAAUACCGCAUAAUAUAAUUGAACCGCAUGAUUUGAUUAUCAAAGAUUUAUCGCUGAAAGAUGAGCUCGCGUCUGAUUAGCUAGUUGGUAAGGUAACGGCUUACCAAGGCGACGAUCAGUAGCCGGACUGAGAGGUUGAUCGGCCACAUUGGGACUGAGACACGGCCCAGACUCCUACGGGAGGCAGCAGUGGGGAAUAUUGCACAAUGGAGGAAACUCUGAUGCAGCGAUGCCGCGUGAGGGAAGAAGGUUUUAGGAUUGUAAACCUCUGUCUUCAGGGACGAAAAAAGACGGUACCUGAGGAGGAAGCUCCGGCUAACUACGUGCCAGCAGCCGCGGUAAUACGUAGGGAGCGAGCGUUGUCCGGAAUUACUGGGUGUAAAGGGAGCGUAGGCGGGAUCGCAAGUCAGAUGUGAAAACUAUGGGCUUAACCCAUAAACUGCAUUUGAAACUGUGGUUCUUGAGUGAAGUAGAGGUAAGCGGAAUUCCUAGUGUAGCGGUGAAAUGCGUAGAUAUUAGGAGGAACAUCAGUGGCGAAGGCGGCUUACUGGGCUUUAACUGACGCUGAGGCUCGAAAGCGUGGGGAGCAAACAGGAUUAGAUACCCUGGUAGUCCACGCUGUAAACGAUGAAUACUAGGUGUGGGGGGACUGACCCCUUCCGUGCCGCAGUUAACACAAUAAGUAUUCCACCUGGGGAGUACGACCGCAAGGUUGAAACCCAAAGGAAUUGACGGGGGCCCGCACAAGCAGUGGAGUAUGUGGAUUAAUUCGAAGCAACGCGAAGAACCUUACCAGGUCUUGACAUCGUAUGCAUAGCUCAGAGAUGAGUGAAAUCUCUUCGGAGACAUAUAGACAGGUGGUGCAUGGUUGUCGUCAGCUCGUGUCGUGAGAUGUUGGGUUAAGUCCCGCAACGAGCGCAACCCUUACUGUUAGUUGCUACGCAAGAGCACUCUAGCAGGACUGCCGUUGACAAAACGGAGGAAGGUGGGGAUGACGUCAAAUCAUCAUGCCCCUUAUGACCUGGGCCUCACACGUACUACAAUGGCUGUUAACAGAGGGAUGCAAAGCCGCGAGGUGGAGCGAACCCCUAAAAGCAGUCUUAGUUCGGAUUGUAGGCUGCAACCCGCCUACAUGAAGUCGGAAUUGCUAGUAAUCGCAGAUCAGCAUGCUGCGGUGAAUACGUUCCCGGGCCUUGUACACACCGCCCGUCACGCCAUGGGAGUCGGUAACACCCGAAGCCUGUAGUCUAACCGCAAGGAGGACGCAGUCGAAGGUGGGAUUGAUGACUGGGGUG